GUGAAAAGAAGAGCCGUCAGAGGCCACUGAGGGUUGUUAUAAAUGUGGUUGUAGCAAUGCCAUAAGGAACUGUCCUGCAUAUGGGCAAGAACGACAAAUCAUUUUUGCCAAAAUGUGCAACUCUGGAAAGGAAAAAUCCCAGGGCAAACACUUGCCCUCACAGAAGCAGAUGAACACCGACAAAAUCUGUUCCUCAGUAUGCUGAGAGUGAGCUUGCCAAGGAUGACUGGAAUGUGGAUUUUCUCAAUGAUCACAAAACUGGGUGGAGCAGGCCCUCAUUCUCCUGUCAUGCUUCGAGCUGCAGCGUGCUAUGUGGUGCUGCAGGGAGAGGAGGCCAUGUAGAAUCAGGGUGCUCUCAGAAGCUGGAAAAUUCUACAAUCCAGAAGACAGUGAGGAAGAUUCUCCAGUGCUUCAGAUGUACAUGGGCAAAAAGGAAUAUGUGAAGAGACUCUUCCACAUCUGCCAUUUGAGUACAGCAGUUUCCAUAGUUUAGAAUCUUAGCUGAGUAAAUGAGGGUUUGCAAACUCAGGCAAGGAGGCUUCAAAUCCAUGAGCUGUCUUCAAAGUAGAAAACCAGAAGGGAAACUUAGAAUCAUGACUCAUAGCCAGCUCUUCUUCUUGGAUAAUGUCUGUCACUCUUUUUUGAGCAGUUGAUUAAGACACUGACAAUAGGUGAGUAAUAGAAAAACCCAAUGGGGGCUAUAAUAAAUUGAAGGGUAUUUUGCCAUGGAAAUAAGGAAUACAGGUUGUUCCUCCACCUCCUGAACAUCGGGCACAUCUUAUCAUUUCUGUUAGGCAACCUUAAAUGAGAAGACUUUAGGGGGAAAACUUAGCAGGAGAAGAAGCUGACAGCCAACCAGCACUGGAGUGAGUUUCACCAUUAUAGCUGCCAUCCUCACCAUCUCCUUGGACCCCAGGAGCCAGCAUGACACCAUUGUGCUGCCUUCAACCUAACUCUGAGGACUGUUCUAACCAAACAGACCAGAUGACACCCCAUCCUCACCGGCUCUGGCUAAAUCCCAAACAGCUGGAAUGUGAGACUCUUGUCACCGCCCUGUCCCCCCAUGCCCUUUUCCUUCCUUACCUCAUUUCGCCUCUCUCUCUCUCUCCUGCUCUCCUUUUUCCAUCUGUCUAACAAGAGUCUGGCUUAGGUGUCCAAAACUGUAUGUCUUGCAACAGUGCUGUACACCUGUUCCCAGAGAGGCAGCUAGAAGCAAUGCCCAGAACAGCCCCAUGCUGGCACAAGUUUGCCAGGUCUCAGAGUGGCUGAUCAGACCAUGUGAUGCCUGAAUUUUUCCAGCAGUGAAGGUGCAAGUGUGAGUCAAUGCCAGAGACUGGAUUUUCUACCUUUUCGUUCGUGUGUGUGUGUGUGGUUUUGUCUUCUAGGAAACAGUUUUGGACUUUAACAACAGCAAUUGCUCCAGCUCCAGGCAUCUGCUUCUUGUUCGCCCAGAAGGGCAGUUAAUGCUGUACCAUCUUAAAGACUGUCAGACAUUGCUCUCCAGAUAACCGGGGUGGGGAAGUGCUAAAAAUGAAACCCUUACUCCUGUACUUUACAUUUCAAAUGCUUUAACUGAUUUCCCUUUUUCUGUAUCUUCUAACAAAAGGUGAAAAAAAUUAAUGGUGUGUUUGCCCUAGUACUAAGCAGGCUGAGGUAUACCAACCCUUGGCCUUUUUUACAACUGUACAAUGCUGGACAAUUACAGGUUCCUGUCUGGUAACAGCUUUGCCUCGCUGGGCCCACUGAAAUUAAUACAACAGGCCCAAUGGUAGGGUCCCUUACAGUUUGUGGGGAGGAGCCAGAGCAGCUGCAUGGAAUGUGGGAGCUGGCUGGCUGAGGAGGACUGGCACCUAAGCUGACCAGCAAACCAGUCAGCGCAGGAGAGACAAAGCAGCCCCCUCAGCCUAGCUAGCAGGCUGAAGAAUUCCCUCCUUGCCCACAUGCAGUAAGGCACUGCCCAGGGUCUCUCCAGCCUUCCCCUCCUCCCUGCCCAAAACUAGGACUGGCUGACAGGACCAAACAGUCUGGGUGCAAUCUGUGAGCAGGGCACUAAAUGUGAUCAGAAUGCCCUUGAGCCUAGCAGAUCGUACAGGUGUACUGAUACAUGGGUCAGGGCUUUGGUCAGUGUGUGUGUGUGUGUGUGUGGGUGCUCACACAGUACUCUUUACUUAUGGAAUCACCCAUUCCUUAUGUAUGCAUUCACCUAUUGCAGUGGUCACCAACCAGUCGAUCGCAAUCGACUGUUCAAUCCUAGAGGAUCUCCCAGUCAAUCACGACCUCUGACGGCACAAUGGGGCUGUCCAAGCCCCAUGCCGCUCCCGGAAGCAGCCAACGCGCCUUCAGCCCUGGGGACAGAGGGGCAGGGGUCUCCCUCUGUGCACUGCUCCUGCCUGCAAGCACUGCUCCCAUAGCUCCCAUUGGCUGGGAAAAGGGAGCUGUGGCUAAUGGGAGCUGCGGGGGGGCGGUGCUUGCAGAGAGGGGCAGUACGUGGAGCCAUGUGCUGCCCGCCCCCUCCUAUUGGGCCACAGGGGCACGUUGGCCCCUUUCAGGAGCGGCGUGGGGCCGGGGUAAGC